rnacentral:misc_RNA from 1 species
GAUGAAGAACGUAGCGAAAUGCGAUAAGUAAUGUGAAUUGCAGAAUUCAGUGAAUCAUCGAAUCUUUGAACGCACAUUGCGCCCGUCAGUAUUCUGGCGGGCAUGCCUGUUCGAGCGUCAUUACGCCCCUCAAGUCCCCUGUGGACUUGGUGUUGGGGAUCGGCGAGGCUGGUUUUCCAGCACAGCCGUCCCUUAAAUUAAUUGGCGGUCUCGCCGUGGCCCUCCUCUGCGCAGUAGUAAAACACUCGCAACAGGAGCCCGGCGCGGCCCACUGCCGUAAAACCCCCCAACUUUUUAUAGUUGACCUCGAAUCAGGUAGGACUACCCGCUGAACUUAAGCAUAUCAAUAAGCGGAGGA